GCAAACUUGGUCAUUUAGAGGAAGUAAAAGUCGUAACAAGGUAACCGUAGGUGAACCUGCGGUUGGAUCAUUACUAAAUGAUUGCCCGGUUGCAAGACUCGCCGAAAGGUUUGAGGCUUGCCUGGGUAUUAACACCCUGUGAACUGAAUUGUAUUUCGAGUCUCUUUUGCUGACUUGUCUAGGCGAUCGGCAGAAAGACUCGGCAGUAACAAACCCCAUUUUAACCUUGACUGAAUCUAAUUUAUAAAAAUAAACAACUUUUGACAACGGAUCUCUUGGCUCUCGCAUCGAUGAAGAACGCAGC
rnacentral:misc_RNA from 1 species